AGACUCUGCCCAGCAAAAGGCAACAGCUCCAAGAAUCUGUCGGUGUACUCCUCUACACUCAUUUCAUCCGUCUGCCUCAACUGUUCAAACUCUAUCAUCUUCAGCUCCCUUGAACUAUCGGGAAAAGCCCAUCCUGCAAACUCGUUUGCAAACUCUUCUCAAGACAUGCUGUCCACUCUCAGGUUCACAUAAUUCUUGAACCACUCUCGUGCCUUCUUGCACUUAAGCGUGAA
rnacentral:lncRNA from 1 species